CAGCACAAACGCGUUACGUCGGUAUCAGUCUCUUGGUGCCGGGGUGUCAGAUGUUGUGCCAGACCC
rnacentral:snoRNA from 1 species